rnacentral:misc_RNA from 1 species
AUUCGGAUCACUGUGUCCUGUACUUGACCAGUAGGAAGGUCUAUUUAGAUAUUUGUCCAUCGGGAUUAAGGUAUUGACAAUACUUUCAUCUGGAUAAUUGUCCGUGCUGGAAGCACUGACUGCAUAGCCUAUGCAAUCGUUUCGACAUGACUUUGAUGAUUCAAUAGCUUGAAGUAGAGAAGAAUAAACUUCAUGGUCUCUUUUUAGAGUCUCCCAGUUGGAAUUGCUAGACCCGGCGUCUUUUGCUUCUGAUGCACUCAAAUCUAGUUCUGCUAUCCAGGCAAUCCUAGAAAGCUGCUGAAACUUUCCCACACAGAGUUGCUUAGAGAGUCCAUUGGAAAUCACAAAUUGGCGCCAACGGCGUGAAACAGAGCCAGCACGGACUACAUCAGCUGGAUCGAUCAAACGCAUCAUAAUAUCCAGAGACACAUCAGUGUCCAGCCAUUGCACAAAAUCAAAACGUGUCUCCAUGGCACAACCAAAAGCGUAAUCCCCUAGAUAAUGUCAAAGUCCCAAAACCUUGUGAAUUGAAG